GCAUGGGUUUGGAUUCAUGGCAAGCCCGUCCCACUGGGCCUCUCAUAGUGCCCCAUGUCAGAGCAAACUGGCCCUGAAUCAUUGCCUGGCCUCUGUCCAUAGGUUACAGGCACUAAAGUGGUCUGCACAGUG